rnacentral:piRNA from 1 species
UGAGAGGGUCAGAGCUGCUGAACAGG